rnacentral:sRNA from 1 species
UGUAUGUAUGUAUGUAUCUUUGUAUAUGUGUGCAUUACUUACUUACUUACCAAAGGGUGUCCACUUACUAAACGAUAGCUACAAGAUCUAUUAUAGAAUAUACUCACAAUCAAUAUGCUAUGUAUUUCUUCGGUAUAAGAUUGCAAAGGCAAGAACAGAUAGUGUGUUUUUGGCUAAGUUAAAUCGUUCGAAAUUCACAAGUAUUUGUAUUUGAUAACAAGCCGCGAUAUGUUAUCAAAUAGAAUUUUAGUUACCAUCUACGGAUAUGUCGCCUACUCGAUUAGUUUGACAAGCGAAUUUGCGCUGGCUAUUAGCUGUUUUUUUUUUUCACAUGCAUAUGUGUAUGUCGGCGCGUACUGACUGUGCUUCUCAUCUACCAACCGCAGAAGUUUCCGCGCACUCUGAAAAAAUCGUCCCUGAAGCUAUGAUCGCACAGUCUAUAGUAUUUAUCCCGGAUUGCGAUAUGUCUCUUACAAAGGCCCCUUUUCUACUCUCGCAGAGGAUCUUCUUCAUCCAGUCCUUUGGCGGAUUGUUUUCCUCCGUUGCAGCAAUUCCUGCAUGAUGUCGUGCUCCGUCCCAGAAUUUCUUUCGGCACAAUCGGCUAUGCAGGCAUCGGCUCUGCGUUUCAAUCUUGUGAGCCACUUUUAGCUACAUGGAGCUGCGCUUGGACUCACUGGAUUUGCUACGAGUUUAAUGGAGCGGAGUAAUCGCGGCGUUCCCUGCCAUUUGGUUAUUCUUGAGAACUGUAAAUGCUGCUGAGCCUUACCCUGCUGUAAUGAAUACUGCUUCAGUUCGAUCAGAUGUUCAACCAAUAGAAUCUUCCAAUCAGCAGAUUCGCUACCGAAACCCAAUCUGACAGUUGCUCCGCAGCAAUGAUUAGUAUCCAACAAACGUAUGCAACUAACUCUUACAAAUACCAACAAAUAAAUUCUUUUAGCAACGAGAAAAAACAAUUCCUUAACCAGGCUAACCAAUUUUUCGAACAAAUAUU